UUGUGCACCGGGUCUCUAGUAUAUUAUAAGUGGAAUGAUACAGAGGAGAUUAGAAUGGCCCCUGCAUAAGGGUGACACGCAAAUUUGUGACGUGUUCCAUAUUUUU